ensembl:ncRNA Y16B4A.3 ncRNA
UAGUUGUAUGACACACAGAAAAGUCAAGUGAAGGAUUUCAUCAAUCAUCCUAGAAAGCAUAGCAUACCACGCCUUGGUCCUCUUUUGUGCAUACUUCUUCACAAUCUUCAACAAUUGAGACGUGAGAGGUCAGACAGACAACACUGAAGA